rnacentral:lncRNA from 1 species
AACUAACAGUUGAUUAAUUUCUAAGUUGAUAUUCAGUUCCCAAAUUGAGGGACUCCUUUUACUUUAUAAUCAUCUUUAUCGUAGUAGCAAUGAGCAGUAUCUCAGCCAUAAUCAAGAAUUGACAUCGAUGUUGCAUGUAGGAGCAUGAAGCACACUCUCAAGACUGGAGCUUAGUAGGUCUACUAGACCACAGCGGCUUGUAAUCACCAGCAAAGCGGAUUCAAGACGGGGUCUAAUUAGAGUCCACCAUUAUGCAACUAAUAGCAUUGCCAAGCUGCCUAUUCAUCAUCCACUGCAACAAAUUUAGAUCUACUGCUAGUUGCAUCAUGAUCAUGAUCAUUAAGUGUAUUGAUUCAAUACAAAGGAGACCUUUUCAGUCGUGGAGACUGGAUAAUCAAGGUUGUUGGACCAUAAAAUAAGUCAAAAAUUAGCGUAUAUGACAUAUACCACAACUAUGAAGUUGACAUGAUACAUGAUCAGCAUGUUUGUAGCUGUCUGUUGAAAAAGUCGCUUUGAGACGAAAUACAGUUGAUGUGAAGCCAAACUGAUGGAUAUCCGUUGGAGGUGGAUCCAGAAGGUAGUGCGGGGACUGAUGCUGCUCGACUUGAACUUCAAGGAGGCCUGGGGUUGUUGCGCACAUACUCGAUCCAGGAUUACUGCAUAAGAGGUAUUGACGGAGUGGUGUGUGGAGAUGAGGCGGUCGGCGGGACUGAUGCAUUGGGCAUCACAGCUUCUCUGGCGACGGGCUCCGAAUGAUGUACGUCCGGAUAGGAGACGAACGAGUUCGGGUUGGUGUCAUCCAUGGUGAACUCGUGAAGAUAAUACAAUGUGCGGAGAAAUUGAUUCAAUUGUAGUGUAUGAAAUUGUUGAUCAGAACAAGUGCGAAUUGGAAUAAGUGUGGUCUGGCCAGAGAAUUCGAAUUGUAGUGCCAGAAUGCCAGACUGGAGUUCUGCCAAUAGUAGGUUUGUGUUUGUGCCAGCGCUGACCGUCCUGCUGCUUUGGCCUUGUCGUCCUAGUUUUGUCUGUUUUGUUUCAUCAGCCCAUCUUGUUGCAAGACCAAAAUUGUGUUUGUCAUGUAAUUUCGAUCGGAAAUUUCUUGUAAAUAAUUGUUUGAGUGUCGUGUGUGUGAAUUAUAAAUAUAACAGCGUAAAUAGUA